AACGAACGCUGGCGGCAUGCCUAACACAUGCAAGUCGAACGAGACCUUCGGGUCUAGUGGCGCACGGGUGCGUAACGCGUGGGAACCUGCCUUUAGGUUCGGAAUAACUCAGAGAAAUUUGAGCUAAUACCGGAUGAUGUCUUCGGACCAAAGAUUUAUCGCCUUUAGAUGGGCCCGCGUAAGAUUAGCUAGUUGGUGGGUAAAGGCCUACCAAGGCGACGAUCUUUAGCUGGUCUGAGAGGAUGAUCAGCCACACUGGGACUGAGACACGGCCCAGACUCCUACGGGAGGCAGCAGUGGGAAUAUUGGACAAUGGGCGCAAGCCUGAUCCAGCCAUGCCGCGUGCAGGAAGAAGCAUCUAUGGUGUGUAAACUGCUUUUGUACGGGAAGAAACACUCCUACGUGUAGGAGCUUGACGGUACCGUAAGAAUAAGGAUCGGCUAACUCCGUGCCAGCAGCCCGGUAAAGUGACUACUG
rnacentral:rRNA from 1 species